rnacentral:rRNA from 1 species
AUGCUUGGCUUGAUGGCAGCUCCAUGCCAAUCUCCCCAAGCAGGGAAUAAGCUCUACGAUGAGUGUGAUCCUACGGUGCACGGCGACCGGGUCCUGCUGCCCCGGCAGGCCAGCUCGGCAUCACCGGCUGGGCCGCCGGAGGUGUCGACGACGUCCUCGUCGACGGGGUCGGGGAGGAGCGCGACGGAGGCAAGGGCCCUGAAGGUCCACAGCGAGGCCGAGCGCCGGCGUCGGGUGAGGAUCAACGCUCAUCUCACGGCGCUCAGGAGGAUGAUCCCUGAUACCAAGCAGAUGGACAAGGCCGCCUUGCUAGCCAGGGUGGUGGACCAAGUGAAGCACCUGAAGAGGAGAGCAGGCGAGGCCGCACAGCAAACGCCGGCUGUCCCACCGGAGACCGACGAGGUCUCCAUUGAAUUCUGCACCGGAGACGAUGACUCCAGACUGUACAUGAAAGCCUCGGUCAGCUGCGACGACCGCCCGGACCUCGUCGCCGGGCUCAUCCAGGCGCUCCAUGGCCUCAGGCUGAGGACGGUGAGAGCGGAGGUGACCUCCCUAGGAGGAAGGGUGCAGCAUGUCUUCACACUGUGCAAGGAGGAGGACGAGGAAGGCAGCGCAGCAGCAGGCCUUGCUGGACUCACGUCUCUGAAGGAGGCUGCGAGGUUGGCUCUGGCCAGGGUUGCUUCACCAGAGCUGGUAUGUGGUGGUAGCCCGUUCCAGUUCCAGAGCAAGAGGCAGAGGAUUCUCGAGUCGCAUUAUUCAAUCAUGUCCAUAUAG